AAGGGUGCUUUAUUGAGCCUGGUAGAUGCUGGCAAAGCCUGGCAUUCCCUCUGGCUCACUAACUUCUAGACUGUACUGUCUAGUGCUGCCACACACAGUUUAUCCCUAAAUCUUGGCUUGGAUUUGAAAAGCAGUCAUGGAGAGGAUUGCUGACGACAACACUCUGCUGGUGUUCUGAGCUGCAUAAAGAGUUUGAAUGACAUGAGCCAGGGCACCUGCAGCAGCCAGAUCCUCAAGGAGAGGGCCUUUAUCAACAGAUGAGCAGCUGGCUAACCUGAAUGUGUGUGUGAAAGUUACAUCUGUGCCAACCCACUGAAAGCAGUGCUCUUCCACGGG